rnacentral:rRNA from 1 species
UACAGAGGGUGCAAGCGUUGUUCGGAAUUAUUGGGCGUAAAGCGCGUGUAGGCGGCUUUGCAAGUCGGGUGUGAAAGCCCUCAGCUCAACUGAGGAAGUGCACCCGAAACUGCAGAGCUUGAGUGCCGGAGAGGGUGGCGGAAUUCCCCAAGUAGAGGUGAAAUUCGUAGAUAUGGGGAGGAACACCGGUGGCGAAGGCGGCCACCUGGACGGUAACUGACGCUGAGACGCGAAAGCGUGGGGAGCGAACAGG